UAGGAUAUAGUGUAAUAGGUAGCACGGAGAGUUUUGAGUUCUUAGGCAUGGGUUCGACUCCUAUGAUCCUAG
rnacentral:tRNA from 1 species